UGCAAGUCGAACGAGAGAUGAAGAGCUUGCUCUUCAAAUCGAGUGGCGAACGGGUGAGUAACGCGUGAGGAACCUGCCUCAAAGAGGGGGACAACAGUUGGAAACGACUGCUAAUACCGCAUAAGCCCACAGCUCGGCAUCGAGCAGAGGGAAAAGGAGCAAUCCGCUUUGAGAUGGCCUCGCGUCCGAUUAGCUAGUUGGUGAGGUAAUGGCCCACCAAGGCGACGAUCGGUAGCCGGACUGAGAGGUUGAACGGCCACAUUGGGACUGAGACACGGCCCAGACUCCUACGGGAGGCAGCAGUGGGGAAUAUUGCACAAUGGGGGAAACCCUGAUGCAGCGACGCCGCGUGGAGGAAGAAGGUCUUCGGAUUGUAAACUCCUGUUGUUGAGGAAGAUAAUGACGGUACUCAACAAGGAAGUGACGGCUAACUACGUGCCAGCAGCCGCGGUAAAACGUAGGUCACAAGCGUUGUCCGGAAUUACUGGGUGUAAAGGGAGCGCAGGCGGGAGAACAAGUUGGAAGUGAAAUCCAUGGGCUCAACCCAUGAACUGCUUUCAAAACUGUUUUUCUUGAGUAGUGCAGAGGUAGGCGGAAUUCCCGGUGUAGCGGUGGAAUGCGUAGAUAUCGGGAGGAACACCAGUGGCGAAGGCGGCCUACUGGGCACCAACUGACGCUGAGGCUCGAAAGUGUGGGUAGCAAACAGGAUUAGAUACCCUGGUAGUCCACACCGUAAACGAUGAUUACUAGGUGUUGGAGGAUUGACCCCUUCAGUGCCGCAGUUAACACAAUAAGUAAUCCACCUGGGG
rnacentral:rRNA from 1 species